rnacentral:rRNA from 1 species
UACAGAGGUGCUCAAGCGUUUGUUCGGAUUCAUUGGGCGUAAAGGGUGCGCAGGCGGCGCGGUAAGUCGGGUGUGAAACUCGUUGGAGCUUAACUCCGAAACUGCAAUUCGAUACUGCCGUGCUUGAGGGACUGGAGAGGAGACUGGAAUUUACGGUGUAGCGGUGAAAUGCGUAGAUAUCGUAAGGAAGACCAGCUGGGCGAAAGGCGGGUCUCUGGACAGUUCCUGACGCUGGAGGCAACGAAGGCCAGGGGACGCAAACGGG